AUUACUUCUCAGCCUUUUGGCUAAAAUCAAGUGCAGUAUCUGUUCUUAUCAGUUUAAUAAGCUCUUAUACAGGUGUUUGAUACAGUAGUUCUCAAUACACCCUCUGUCAACAUUCUUGUGAGAUUCUUGAGUCUCACAAGAGACUCAAAUAUCUAUGUAAUUUCAGAAUCUGGUAGGAAAUCCCAC
rnacentral:snRNA from 1 species